GAUGAACGCUAGCGGCAGGCCUAAUACAUGCAAGUCGAACGGUGGUAGCAAUACCAUAGUGGCGCACGGGUGCGUAACACGUAUGCAACCUACCUUAUACUUAGGGAUAGCCUUUGGAAACGGAGAUUAAUACUUAAUGGUAUAUUAGACUGGCAUCGGUUUGAUAUUAAAGAUUUAUUGGUAUAAGAUGGGCAUGCGUCCAAUUAGUUAGUUGGUGAGGUAACGGCUCACCAAGACGAUGAUUGGUAGGGGAACUGAGAGGUUAAUCCCCCACACUGGCACUGAGAUACGGGCCAGACUCCUACGGGAGGCAGCAGUAGGGAAUAUUGGGCAAUGGACGCAAGUCUGACCCAGCCAUGCCGCGUGCAGGAUGAAGGCGUUAUGCGUUGUAAACUGCUUUUAUACAGGAAGAAACAACGCUACGUGUAGCGUCUUGACGGUACUGUAGGAAUAAGGAUCGGCUAACUCCGUG
rnacentral:rRNA from 1 species